ACAAGAGAGCUACUCAAAUCAAUUCAUCAUGAGGACUAGGUUCCUACUUGACGCAUGCAAAAUACAAGUGUUCAGUGUCACCGUUGGACCAUAACAAACACCAUCGGAACAGCCCAUGAAAACAGAGCAGUACCGUGAGCUCCACAGAACAGAGCAAAUCCUUUUACAAUCUGUCUAAGAAGAUAAGGAAGACCUGACUGACCCAUCAGUGUGUGUGGAUAACAGACCCCAUUGGUCCAUAAAGGUACCAAAAAUGGACAGGCAAUCAUAAACCAGGCUGAAACUUCUCGAAUGGUGCAUAUUUAUUCUUAAACAAAUAAUAGUAAAUGGACAAUGAGGACCUGUGAUUUUAAUUAUAAUCAAUCAGUAAUAUUUUGUAAAUAGAACAAAUUUCCAUAUAGCCCUUCAUAGCUGUACUUCACUGAUAGCCCUGAAGGGCAAUCCAGCACCUUCAUCACUAGGUCACUCUUCAGCAAAUUACAUGAUUGGAAUCCUUCCUCAUUUUUUGGACAAUUACAUCAUUCUGUAUUAUUUUAAUUAACAUUUAGCAUUACAGGUGCCUUUUGUGUUCAUCUCGCC